rnacentral:rRNA from 1 species
UAGUCAUAUGCUUGUCUCAAAGAUUAAGCCAUGCAUGUCUAAGUAUAAGCAAUUAUACCGCGAAACUGCGAAUGGCUCAUUAUAUAAGUUAUCGUUUAUUUGAUAGUACCUUACUACUUGGAUAACCGUGGUAAUUCUAGAGCUAAUACAUGCUAAAAAUCCCGACUUCGGAAGGGAUGUAUUUAUUAGAUUAAAAACCAAUGCCCUUCGGGGCUCUCUGGUGAUUCAUGAUAACUUCUCGAAUCGCAUGGCCUUGUGCCGGCGAUGGUUCAUUCAAAUUUCUUCCCUAUCAACUUUCGAUGUUUGGGUAUUGGCCAAACAUGGUUGCAACGGGUAACGGGGAAU